GACGAACGCUGGCGGCGUGCUUAACACAUGCAAGUCGAACGGUAACGCCUCUUUCGUGGGGUCCUCGCUUGGCGAUCGGGUGAGUAACACUUGUGUAACGUGCCCUUCAUUUUGGGAUAACUUCACUACACUAGGCCUAAUCCCGUAUCGGAUCUUCUGCUGCAUGGUGGGGGUUGGAACGUUUCGGCGGUUGGGGUUGGAUUCGCGGCUUAGCAGCUUGUUGGUGGGGUAGUGGCUUACCAAGGCUUUGACGGGUAGCCGGCCUGAGAGGGUGACCGGCGACAUUGGGACUGAGAGACGGCCCAGACUCCUACGGGAGGCAGCAGUGGGGAAUAUUGCACAAUGGGUGGAAGCCUGAUGCAGCAGGGCCGUGUGCGGGAUGACGGCCUUCGGGUUGUAAACCGGAUUAGCGCAAGAAGAAGCUUUGUGUGACGGUAGUGGGUAAAGAAGCACCGGCUAACUACGUG
rnacentral:rRNA from 1 species